GUGGGUAUAGCUCAGUGGUAGAGCAGGUGCUUAGCAUACAUGAGGUACUGGGUUCAAUCCCCAGUACCUCCA
rnacentral:tRNA from 1 species